AAUAAGUGCAGUUUUAUACUAUUUAUGUUCAACGUUUGAUCGUUCGUCUUAUUUAAAAAAAUUUAUAAUUAGUAUUUUUAUUGCUAUUAGAUGAUAAAACAUGAAUAGCACUUUAUGUGUGGAUAAUUUUUUUUAUUUUUUUCACAAAUUUUUCAAAUAAGACGAACGGUUAAACAUUGGACACGGAUAUCCACGGCUGCACUUAUU
rfam:Oryza glumipatula chromosome 3, whole genome shotgun sequence.